GUGAUGGCGUCGAUGGAAUAUCAUGCAAAUUGGUGCCUGCGUCUCAAAGAUUCCCUGUAUAAAUGGAUAUCGCUACUAACCACUAGCCUACCAAUUUGCACAAAUUCCCCCAUUGUAAGAAAUAGGGUUUCGCUUCUAUCUAAGAUGUCUGGAACGGUCAACAAAUCUUCAAUGAACGUUUGUGUCUUGCAUGAAUAUCUGUAGAAAACAGCUGGAAAACACUGAAGUGCAUCUUUCAAUAAAUGAUUAAUACACAAGUUCAACGACAUUUUGGGUUACCAUAGAUAUUACGUUGUUCUAGUGCACAAGGCCAAACUGUUAUACUAUUCUACGAGCACGAAAUAAAGACAAAAAUAAUAUCAAGAAGAAGGUUUAAGAAAUGUAAGGGCAAAUAGUAAAAAAAAGAAGUAAAAUAUGAAAAUAAAUACAAAUACAAAUAACAAUGAAGAAAAUGAAUGAAAGAAUUAACAAAGAAGCAAAUAGAUAACGAGAAGAAGUAAAAUAAGCUUCAGCAGAGAAGAAAGUUUUAAAUGAAUGAGAUAGAAUAAAGUUUACAAAGAA
rnacentral:lncRNA from 1 species